UAAUGAUGUACAACUCGUUAAUCAGCAAACCAAAGACAAAUUCAUUGGAAACCAUUCACCGUAGGGAUUCUCUAUUUUGGUCUUUAAUUCUGCUAAUCCUAUUUUCCAACUGAUUUUAUCGCUCCCUAAUUGCAGUCGAUUGGCGUGGGAACACGAAUGACCAUAGUAGGCCACUUUAACCCGGUCUACUCCGUUUAACUCAAGUCUGUUAAGAUUCUAACGUCACGGUAUACCAUGUAAAUCCGAUAUGUCUAGUUUAAGUCAUGCUCUGCUACCUUUCUUUACUCACAGUAGGCCAACUAAACCUCUUUUAAGUGAAGUCCUUUGUUUCUAUGGCAUAACAAGCGUUUUAAAUCUGGUCUAUCGCCAGGUAGGUCAGUUUAAAUGUUUAUUUCUUCUGGUUGGUACUCGCUUCACUUUCGGAAUGGAGCAUCAAACGAGCAAGACACCUUAAUUCCCGAUGUCGGCAUUGACUGUUGUUUACGCGGCAUGUCUACAGUACAUGACAUCUUCCGCCAUUACCAACACACGGAGUAGGGCUUAACGAAUUCGACCAAAACUCUGUUUCAGAAAAUUAAGAAUAUAAUUCUCAGUUUUGUAUAAAAAUUGAGUUUGAAACAGUUACGAGAAGCGCGAUAAAUGUCAACAACUUCAAGUGCGUUUGUUAAGGAAAAGAAGGA